rnacentral:rRNA from 1 species
UGUCUGGCGGCUUUAGCGCGGUGGUCCCACCUGACCCCAUGCCGAACUCAGAAGUGAAACGCCGUAGCGCCGAUGGUAGUGUGGGGUCUCCCCAUGCGAGAGUAGGGAACUGCCAGACAU